GAUAAACGCUGGCGGCGCACAUAAGACAUGCAAGUUGAACGGACUUAAUCGAAAUAUUUCUAUUUUGAAGCGGUUAGUGGCGGACUGGUGAGUAACGCGUAAGGAACCUGCCUAUUAGAGGGGAAUAACAGUGAGAAAUCAUUGCUAAUACCGCAUAUGCCAUAGAUAUCACAUGAUAACAGUGGGAAAGGAGCAAUCCGCUAAUAGAUGGCCUUGCGUCUGAUUAGAUAGUUGGUGGGGUAACGGCCUACCAAGUCGACGAUCAGUAGCCGGACUGAGAGGUUGAACGGCCACAUGGGGACUGAGAUACGGCCCAGACUCCUACGGGAGGCAGCAGUCGGGAAUAUUGCGCAAUGGAGGAAACUCUGACGCAGUGACGCCGCGUAUAGGAAGAAGGUUUUCGGAUUGUAAACUAUUGUCGUUAGGGAAGAGAAAGGACAGUACCUAAGGAGGAAGCUCCGGCUAACUACGUG
rnacentral:rRNA from 1 species